CCCACUUCUUGGCCUUUUGGCUAAGAUCAAGUGUGUGUAGAUAAGCCCAUGGUAAGAGGAAAAACUUUUCAGUCUGUAGUCUAGAUUGCUAAUGCGCUCACAAUAUAAAGAUUUGUUCAUAUAUAUUUUUGUCCAUUGGAGAUAACAGAUUUUUUUCUUCUUUGGGACACCCAUAUUCACCUUCCUGUGGCAGCAGCAGGAAAAUAUAGGUACACAUA